GAUGAACGCUGGCGGCGUGCCUAAUACAUGCAAGUCGAGCGAACAGACGAGGAGCUUGCUCCUCUGACGUUAGCGGCGGACGGGUGAGUAACACGUGGAUAACCUACCUAUAAGACUGGGAUAAAUUCGGGAAACCGGAGCUAAUACCGGAUAAUAUAUUGAACCGCAUGGUUCAAUAGUGAAAGACGGUUUUGCUGUCACUUAUAGAUGGAUCCGCGCCGCAUUAGCUAGUUGGUAAGGUAACGGCUUACCAAGGCAACGAUGCGUAGCCGACCUGAGAGGGUGAACGGGCACACUUGAACUGAGGCACGGUCCAGGCUCCUUCGGGAGGCAGCAGUAGGGAAUCAUCCGCAAUGGGCGAAAGCUUGACGGAACAACGCCGCGGUAGUGAUGAAGGUCUUCGGAUCGGAAAACUCUGUUAUUAGGGAAGAACAAAUGUGUAAUUAACUAUGCACGGCUUGACGGUACCUAAUCAGAAAGCCACGGCUAACUACGUU
rnacentral:rRNA from 1 species